rnacentral:rRNA from 1 species
CAGGCCUAACACAUGCAAGUCGAACGAGUGCCUUCGGGUGCUAGUGGCGCACGGGUGCGUAACGCGUGGGAAUCUGCCCUUGGGUUCGGAAUAACAGCGAGAAAUUGCUGCUAAUACCGGAUAAUGACGUAAGUCCAAAGAUUUAUCGCCCAGGGAUGAGCCCGCGUAGGAUUAGCUAGUUGGUGGGGUAAAGGCCUACCAAGGCGACGAUCCUUAGCUGGUCUGAGAGGAUGAUCAGCCACACUGGGACUGAGACACGGCCCAGACUCCUACGGGAGGCAGCAGUGGGGAAUAUUGGACAAUGGGCGCAAGCCUGAUCCAGCCAUGCCGCGUGAGUGAUGAAGGCCUUAGGGUUGUAAAGCUCUUUUAUCCGGGGCGAUAAUGACGGUACCGGGGGAAUAAGCCCCGGCUAACUUCGUGCCAGCAGCCGCGGUAAU